UACGUAGGGGGCAAGCGUUGUCCGGAAUUAUUGGGCGUAAAGAGCGUGUAGGCGGCCAGAUAAGUCCGCUGUGAAAUCUCGAGGCUCAACUUCGAGCUGUCGGUGGAAACUAUCUGGCUAGAGUCCGGAAGAGGAGAGUGGAAUUCCUGGUGUCAGCGGUGAAAUGCGCAGAUAUCAGGAAGAACACCCGUGGCGAAGGCGGCUCUCUGGGACGGUACUGACGCUGAGACGCGAAAGCGUGGGGAGCAAACAGG
rnacentral:rRNA from 1 species